UACGUAGGCAGCGAGCGUUGUUCGGAAUUACUGGGCGUAAAGAGUGUGUAGGCGGUGCUCUAAGUUCGGUGUGAAAUCUCCUGGCUUAACUGGGAGGGUGCGCCGGAAACUGGAGCGCUCGAGCGUGGGAGAGGAAAGCGGAAUUCCUGGUGUAGCGGUGAAAUGCGUAGAUAUCAGGAGGAACACCUGCGGUGUAGACGGCUUUCUGGACCAUUGCUGACGCUGAGACACGAAAGCGUGGGUAGCAAACAGG
rnacentral:rRNA from 1 species